GGGAGAUCCUAUUCAUGGUACGCACGUUCCCCCAGGACUUUUCUCUGCUCGAGAUCUUGGAGCCCAAGGAUAUCCGAAAUAUCAUUUCUCACUCGCACAAGCAGUGGAAGCCACCCAAAGCGGAGGGAGGGGAAUCUCAGGAUUCCUAUAACCCUGCUUAUAUAGAUUUUUUUAAGAGCUCGUUUAGGGUUUUUCUCGGGUUUGGUACCAAAUCUGGAUAAACUCCUUUCGGUUCUUAAACCUGAGGAAAUUCUAUUUCUGGCUUUUCUUUUCCCGCGGGAUGCGAACAUGUUUAAAUUGCCCCUAAAGAAGAUCAAAGAUAUGAUUCAAGAAGCAAUGGCUAAAGAGGAGGAAAACAGAGAAAAGCCUCCGGUGGAAGGUUGUGAAGACCGUCGUAUGACGGAGGAGGAAAGGACAAAAUUGCUUGAAGCAUUUUCUUUCCUAUGGGAUAAAAAACAAUGAAUUGGAACUAUUGAGUGGUGUAGGUAUCCAUCUUAGCAAAUAGAGAUACCGAGGCCCACCAACCUACUACUUGUUGGUUUGGUGGGGAAAGAGGAGUGGGUAUGAGGGCUUCUUU